rnacentral:rRNA from 1 species
AUUGAACGCUGGCGGCAGGCCUAACACAUGCAAGUCGAACGGUAACAGGAAGCAGCUUGCUGCUUCGCUGACGAGUGGCGGACGGGUGAGUAAUGUCUGGGAAGCUGCCUGAUGGAGGGGGAUAACUACUGGAAACGGUAGCUAAUACCGCAUAAUGUCGCAAGACCAAAGAGGGGGACCUUCGGGCCUCUUGCCAUCGGAUGUGCCCAGGUGGGAUUAGCUUGUUGGUGGGGUAACGGCUCACCAAGGCGACGAUCCCUAGCUGGUCUGAGAGGAUGACCAGCCACACUGGAACUGAGACACGGUCCAGACUCCUACGGGAGGCAGCAGUGGGGAAUAUUGCACAAUGGGCGCAAGCCUGAUGCAGCCAUGCCGCGUGUAUGAAGAAGGCCUUCGGGUUGUAAAGUACUUUCAGCGGGGAGGAAGGGAGUAAAGUUAAUACCUUUGCUCAUUGACGUUACCCGCAGAAGAAGCACCGGCUAACUCCGUG